rnacentral:rRNA from 1 species
ACCGACGCAUUUCUUCCCGCUCUGGGACGUCGCAGCCGGUCGGAGUCCGAGCGCGUCUUCAUCGAGUGAGUGGCUUGGCUCCUCAGCGACGGGUCUCGCGGGGGGUGGCGGCUUGCGGCGAGUAAGUCGGUAACCCACCCGACCCGUCUUGAAACACGGACCAAGGAGUCUAACUUGUGCGCGAGUCAAGGGGUCUUGAACAGGCCCAGAGGCGCAACGAAAGUGAAGUCGGGAUCCCGCGGAGGCACCGGCGGCCGGGGGUCUGCUGGAGCGCACACGUUGGGACCCGAAAGAUGGUGACCUAUGCCCGGCCAGGGCGAAGUCAGAGGAAACUCUGAUGGAGGCUCGUAGCGCUUCUGACGUGCAAAUCGAUUGCGAGAGCUGGGUAUAGGGGCGAAAGACUCAUCGAACCAUCUAGUAGCUGGUUCCCUCCGAAGUUUCCCUCAGGAUAGCCGGCGCUCGAGUAGUUUCGCCCAAUCAAGCGAA